UGAAUAUAACCUGAGAAGAACUGAGGCAAAGUAUUGCAAGUUGUUAUUAGAUGCAGAACGAGAAUGGAGAAGCUCUUUCGAGGGUGUGGUGCACAUCAGAACAGUAACUAAUUUGGGACAAGUGCCAAGCAUUUGUGGGCAGAGAUCAAACAGGAAACCUGCUGACUAAGAGCACUUAAGAUGACACAACACGAGGGAAACCAGGGAAUCCUGGAAUAUCCGCUAAGUGAACUAAAAUAGCCACUCCAAACACACCAGCCACAGUCAAACAUGUUACCCACCUGGAAGCAUCCAAAAUGUAGCCAGUCAUUUAAAGGUGACUGAUCGAAUCAACAACACACAGAGGCCAUUGGUUAAUGCGGAGCAAAGAAUGAUUUCAGCAUACAGCGGCUGGAAUCAUGGACAAGACUUUUCCAGUUGGAUUCAGGGCAAUGCAGAAGUCACAGAUGAAAGUCAAAAGGCCAUUGUUGCAUGCAGUGAAAGACCUGGAGGCAACUUGAAAAUUACAGUCAGCCACAGAUAGUGGUACUCAAUACACUAUUAGCUAGCUGAAUUGGCUACUGGUUGCUCGUGAGCAAGACGCCCAAUUGACAAUCCUCCC